rnacentral:lncRNA from 1 species
GAGGCUGUGAAAGGGGAGAGCUUGAUGAGACAGAAGUUGAUAAGAGUAGUUGCAGAAUUUGUGUUCGACACAGAAUCUGUGUUUGCCACUACAUUCGACCAAGUUCAUAUGUAGUCCAGAUCAAUUUUUUUGUUGCCAGUGUGAAAAGUCACACAGAUAGAUCUGAGAAUGCCGUGCAAUGUUAUUUCAGCAGCGGAGAAGUCUUCACUUGUAGAUGCGUGACGAGAACAUUUUAUUUGUGGAUUCGGUAGGUUUAACAUGUUGACAAUGGCGAUUGGAGCUGAGUCUCGUCGAAUUUACCAGCUCUAGAAUAAUGCCCCAGAGCAAGACUUCUAGACUUUGGUUUUAACUCCGAUAGUUUAGUAACCGAGGGAGCUAGACUACACAAUAAACGCAGUUUGUAACUAUGAUAAUAUUUGAAUAAUAGAUACUAAUGUUUGCGUUCUGAUUCA